CCUAGGGAGGUAGAAGUAGGGAAGUGUGCGCAAGGGGCGAAAGCCGGAAGCAGCAACGCCGCGUGAACGAGACGCCCUUCGGGGUGUAAAGAUCUGUCAGUGGGGACGAAAAAUGACGGUACACACAGAGGAAGCACCGGCUAACUCCGUGCCAGCAGCCGCGGUAAUACGGAGGGUGCAAGCGUUGUCCGGAAUCAUUGGGCGUAAAGAGUUCGUAGGCGGCAUGUAAAGUCAGGUGUUAAAGGCGCGGGCUCAACCUGUGUAUGGCACUUGAUACUUGCAAGCUGGAAUGCGGUAGAGGUAAAGGGAAUUCCGGGUGUAGCGGUGAAAUGCUUAGAUAGCAGGAGGAACAUCGGUGGCGUAAGCGCUUUACUGGGCCGUAAUUGACGCUGAGGAACGAAAGCCAGGGUAGCAAAUGGGAUUAGAUACCCUGGUAGUC
rnacentral:rRNA from 1 species